rnacentral:rRNA from 1 species
AUGCUUAGGGGCACGGCUGGUGCUGUUUUAAGGGACGAGAAAGGAAAAUUCAUUGCAGGGGGAAAUUGGAGAUUUGAUUGGUGCACAAAUGUCCUGGAAGCUUUGGCACUUAGAUAUGGUCUAUCAAUUGCUCAAAGGGCGGGUUGCAACCGUCUAGUUAUUAACUCAGAUAACUUGGAGGUCAUCGUAACCAUGAAUAAUGAAGGACGGCCGGCAAGUAUAGCGGCGAUAGUGUUUGACGAUUGUUAUUUUUUGGCUUGUGAUUUUCCCAUUACUAGAUUCGAGCACUGUAAUGAAGCCAAUAGGGUUGCCCAUGAACUUGCUAAGUUAGAUAGAUUUUCUUCAGCUUUGAACUGGUUUGAGGAGCCUUUGAGUGAAAUUGUACCGCUCCUCAUAAACGAUGUACAUGUUAUUGAAAAUGGAUAA